UAGAAGCCGGCCGCGGGCGUGUGUCCCCACGAGGGUGCGGGGGCGGAGAGAGUUGUCGCCAGUCAAGUCGCGGCUCAGAGGCACGAAGGGAGUUUGUGCUGUGAUGAAGUUCGGUGUGUGAUUUUAAACCCAAAUAGCCAGUCAUAUGGCCCAACAAGUUACUUCACCUUUUUGAAUCUCAACUUACAUCAUCUGCAAAAUGGCACUAACUGAGGCUCUUCUUUCUAAAAUGGAAACUGGCAUGACGAGUUCUUACUGUAACCUCCAGUUACUCAAUGUCAGCAUCACAAAUAAAUGGUCCAUGGAGAAUGAAGCUGAACACAGAGGAAUGCUUUCCUAAAAGUGAUUACUUGGAAAUUUGGAUUUCAGAGGUGGAAAUGAAGCGUAUAGCUUCAUGUUGAAGAGCAAAAUAUACCAAUACUUAAAACAUUUCACAAGAUAAGUAACAGAAAUAGCAGCAGUGCUAUAUUUAAGUAAGAGAAAUGAAUGGAAUUCCAUGUCCUAUUUCCCACCUGUCCUAUUUCCAGGCAUUGAGAUCUAAGUCGUGAAGAUGGUUGUACGAAUGAACUCCAAGGGCUUCCUCUGCCUUUGUACCUGUCCUUUAGACAGUGAGUGGACUUCGGUCAUUAGGCUGCACGAGUCACUCCAUUCUCACAAGGACUACGGGCUGAAAAUCAAUAGUUGGAUCGUUUAAUAAUGCUCCAAAGACUUGAAAAGAGCCUGUUAAGAGAGGUUUAAACCAAAAUAGAGGAACUUCAGAGUGAGGUGUUCCUGUAUUUGUUGUUAUUUUCCUUUGACUUACAGAGAACUAUUUGUACCUCGGUACGCCUGUUGCUAGAAUGGACUUCAGCUCAGGCCAUUAAUCCAGACUUUUUAGAUACGUCAGAAGAUAAAAUGUGUCGCUUAUUCACGAGGUGGUAUAACAAAAUUUGAAAGAACUAAAGUAUGAUUAAUCACUUUUCAGUAUAUAAAUGUUAAGAUUUGUAGUUGAAAGUACAAAUCGCUUUAUAAUGAUUUAUAGCAUUUACUGUUUCUUGUCUGAGUGUGGAAAAUGGAACCAUGCUUAUAGAUGGGGUAAAAUGUAUUUAUUACACUGUUUCUCAUUAGCUUCAAGUCUUUGAUGCUGCUUCUAAGAUUUCAAGUACAAGACUUGGCAAGAGAAGUUAUUGUGCUUCAUUGCUAUUGGAUCUAUCCAGAUAAUAAGUUUCCUUUAAAAAUGACUUUACACUGUGUCUUGGUAGAUGUGAGUGUAUAGUUUUGUCAUAGUUAAUAAAAUUGUAUAGUUAAAUUAUGUGCAUUUUAUAAUACAUAAAUUAUACCUUAAUAAAAAAGAGUGUCGGGGAAAAAUGACAUUUCAGAAUCACCCUCAGGCUGGAGUUAUCAGAGAUCUGCAUAGUCUCAUAGUCCUUCAAGUGUUUGUUCAUGGGAACCUUCUGGAAUCAGUGAAAGGUGUUACAGGACCAGCCCAAGAUGUAAUGUCUGGUGGUCUUGGUGUACGGGUAAAAAUCUUUGUCAUAACUUUGAGAAAAGACAGAAAAGCAGAAGCUAAAAUUUUAGCUGCCAUAAAUUUAAUAAAAGCCAGUAGCAAAUUUAUCCACUGAC